ACGCUCGACACCUACGGGAGGGCAGCAGUGGGGAAUAUUGCACAAUGGGGGAAACCCUGAUGCAGCGACGCCGCGUGAGUGAAGAAGUAAUUCGUUAUGUAAAGCUCUAUCAGCAGGGAAGAAAGUGACGGUACCUGAGUAAGAAGCCCCGGCUAACUACGUGGCAGCAGCCGCGGUAAUCUGAGCGGGCUGGCAAGGC
rnacentral:rRNA from 1 species